rnacentral:rRNA from 1 species
GACGAACGCUGGCGGCGUGCUUAACACAUGCAAGUCGAACGGAAAGGCCUGCUUUCCCUUGUGGAUUGCGGGUACUCGAGUGGCGAACGGGUGAGUAACACGCGAGUGAUCUGCCCCCAACUUGGGUAUAAGCCUGGGAAACUGGGUCUAAUUCCCGAUAGGACUGCAGGGUGGUGCCUGUGGUGGAAAACGUUUUUCUAGUGGUUGGGGAUGAGCUCGCGGCCUAUCAGCUUGGUGGUGGGGUAAUGGCCUACCAAGGCGGCGGCGGGUAGCCGUACUGGGAGUGAGAGGGUGGACGGCCGCACUGGGACUGGGAUCCGGCCCAGACGGCUACGGGCGGUAGGAGAUGGGCAGAUAGCAGAGUGGGCGGAAGGCUGAAGCGGCGAGGCAGCGUGGGGGAUGACCGGAUUCGGGUUGUAAACUCCUUGCGACCGCGAGGAAUCCACCUGGUUGGAAGGGUGGUGACGGUAGUGGUAGAAGAAGCACCGGCUAACUACGUG